GAUGAACGCUGGCGGCGUGCCUAAUACAUGCAAGUCGAGCGAACGGACGCGAAGCUUGCUUCUCUGAUGUUAGCGGCGGACGGGUGAGUAACACGUGGAUCACCUCCCUAUCAGACGGGGAUAACUUCGAGAAACCGGAGCUUACACCGGAUAAUAUUUUGAACCGCAUGGUUGAAAAGUGAAAGACGGUCUUGCUGGCACUUCUCGAUGGAUCCGGGCUGCAUUAGCUAGUUGGUAGGGUAACGGGCUACCAAGGCAACGAGGCAUAGCCGACCGCAGAGGGGGAUCGGCCACCUGGGAGCGUGAACGCGCACCAGGCGCCUGCGGGAGGGCGCAGUCGGGUAUCUUACGCAGCAGGCGAAAGCCUUACGGAGCAACCGCGCGUGAGUGAUGAAAGUCUUCCGAUCGUAAAACUCUGUUACUAGGGAAGAACAUAUUUGUAAGGAACUGUGCCCAUCUUGACGGUACCUAAUCAGAAAGCCACGGCUAACUACGUG
rnacentral:rRNA from 1 species